GACGAACGCUGGCGGCGUGCUUAACACAUUCAAGUCGAACGGAAAGGCCCUGCUUUUGUGGGGUGCUCGAGUGGCGAACGGGUGAGUAACACGUGAGUAACCUGCCCUUGACUUUGGGAUAACUUCAGGAAACUGGGGCUAAUACCGGAUAGGAGCUCCUGCUGCAUGGUGGGGGUUGGAAAGUUUCGGCGGUUGGGGAUGGACUCGCGGCUUAUCAGCUUGUUGGUGGGGUAGUGGCUUACCAAGGCUUUGACGGGUAGCCGGCCUGAGAGGGUGACCGGCCACAUUGGGACUGAGAUACGGCCCAGACUCCUACGGGAGGCAGCAGUGGGGAAUAUUGCACAAUGGGCGGAAGCCUGAUGCAGCAACGCCGCGUGCGGGAUGACGGCCUUCGGGUUGUAAACCGCUUUCGCCUGUGACGAAGCGUGAGUGACGGUAAUGGGUAAAGAAGCACCGGCUAACUACGUG
rnacentral:rRNA from 1 species